rnacentral:rRNA from 1 species
AUUGAACGCUGGCGGCAGGCCUAACACAUGCAAGUCGAGCGGAGCGGCGGACGGGUGAGUAAUGCCUAGGAAUCUGCCUGGUAGUGGGGGAUAACGUCCGGAAACGGGCGCUAAUACCGCAUAAUAUCAGAUGAGCCUAGGUCGGCUUCGCUAGUUGGUGGGGUAAAGGCCUACCAAGGCGACGAUCCGUAACUGGUCUGAGAGGAUGAUCAGUCAAACUGGAACUGGGAGACGGUCCAGAGUCCUAGUGGAGGCAGCAGUGGGGAAUAUUGCACAAUGGGCGAAAGCCUGAUGCAGCCAUGCCGCGUGGAUGAAGAAGGCCUUCGGGUUGUAAAGUACUGUCAGCGAGGAGGCGGAACUCGCAGAAGAAGCACCGGCGAACUCCGUGCCAGCAGCCGCGUUAAUU